AUUCUACUCCCUCCGAUCCUAAAUUGUUGUCAAAAUAUUACAUGUAUCUAGACGCUUUUUAAGAAUAGACACAUGCAUAUUUGGACAAAUUUGAGUCAAGAAUUUAGGAUCAGAGGGAGUAAUAG
rfam:Brachypodium distachyon strain Bd21 chromosome 4, whole genome shotgun sequence.